rnacentral:rRNA from 1 species
GAACGGGUGAGUAAACACGUGAGCAACCUGCCCCGUGACUCUGGGAUAAGCGCUGGAAACGGCGUCUAAUACUGGAUAUGUGACGUGAUCGCAUGGUCUGCGUCUGGAAAGAAUUUCGGUUGGGGGAUGGGCUCGCGGCCUAUCAGCUUGUUGGUGAGGUAAUGGCUCACCAAGGCGUCGACGGGUAGCCGGCCUGAGAGGGUGACCGGCCACACUGGGACUGAGACACGGCCCAGACUCCUACGGGAGGCAGCAGUGGGGAAUAUUGCACAAUGGGCGCAAGCCUGAUGCAGCAACGCCGCGUGAGGGAUGACGGCCUUCGGGUUGUAAACCUCUUUUAGCAGGGAAGAAGCGAAAGUGACGGUACCUGCAGAAAAAGCGCCGGCUAACUACGUGCCAGCAGCCGCGGUAAUACGUAGGGCGCAAGCGUUAUCCGGAAUUAUUGGGCGUAAAGAGCUCGUAGGCGGUUUGUCGCGUCUGCUGUGAAAUCCGGAGGCUCAACCUCCGGCCUGCAGUGGGUACGGGCAGACUAGAGUGCGGUAGGGGAGAUUGGAAUUCCUGGUGUAGCGGUGGAAUGCGCAGAUAUCAGGAGGAACACCGAUGGCGAAGGCAGAUCUCUGGGCCGUAACUGACGCUGAGGAGCGAAAGGGUGGGGAGCAAACAGGCUUAGAUACCCUGGUAGUCCACCCCGUAAACGUUGGGAACUAGUUGUGGGGUCCAUUCCACGGAUUCCGUGACGCAGCUAACGCAUUAAGUUCCCCGCCUGGGGAGUACGGCCGCAAGGCUAAAACUCAAAGGAAUUGACGGGGACCCGCACAAGCGGCGGAGCAUGCGGAUUAAUUCGAUGCAACGCGAAGAACCUUACCAAGGCUUGACAUAUACGAGAACGGGCCAGAAAUGGUCAACUCUUUGGACACUCGUAAACAGGUGGU